rnacentral:rRNA from 1 species
GACAGAGGUGGCGAGCGUUGUUCGGAAUUACUGGGCUUAAAGGGCGAGUAGGCGGUGGGGCAAGUCUGAGGUGGAAACCUAUGGCUUAACCAUAGAACUGCCUUGGAUACUGUUUCACUUGAGUCAGUGAGGGGAGGGCGGAAUUCCCGGUGUAGCGGUGAAAUGCGUAGAUAUCGGGAGGAAGGCCAGUGGCGAAGGCGGCCCUCUGGCGCUGAACUGACGCUGAGGCGCGAAAGCGUGGGGAGCAAACAGG